GGGCCCAUAGCUCAACGGUUAGAGCCCCCCGCUCAUAACGGGGUUGUUCCAGGUUCGAAUCCCGGUGGGCCCA
rnacentral:tRNA from 1 species